rnacentral:rRNA from 1 species
AUGCAAGUCGCACGAGAAAGCCCCUUUCGGGGGGCGAGUAAAGUGGCAAACGGGUGAGUAACGCAUGAAUAACCUGCCCUCAAAUCCGGGAUAACACCUUGAAAAGGGUGCUAAAACUGGAUAAGACCACGGUUUACAAUGGUAGUGGUAAAAGGUAGCCUCUGUAUAUCAAGCAUCGUUUGAGGAGGGGUUCAUGUAUCAUUAGCUUGUUGGUAGGGUAAUGGCCUACCAAGGCUACGAUGAUUAGCCGGCCUGAGAGGGUGACCGGCCACACUGGGAUUGAGAUACGGCCCAGACUCCUACGGGAGGCAGCAGUGGGGAAUUUUGCGCAAUGGGGUAACCCCUGACGCAGCAACGCCGCGUGGAGGAUGAAGGCCUUUGGGUUGUAAACUCCUGUCAGAAGGGAAGAAUGGCAGAUAGGUUAAUAGCCUGUCUGAUUGACGGUACCUUCAGAGGAAGCCACGGCUAACUCCGUGCCAGCAGCCGCGGUAAUACGGAGGUGGCGAGCGUUGUUCGGAUUUAUUGGGCGUAAAGGGCGUGUAGGCGGCUAUAUAAGUUAGGCGUGAAAUACUGCGGCUCAACCGUAGAACUGCGUCUGAUACUGUAUGGCUUGAGUACAGGAGAGGAGAGCGGAAUUCCCAGUGUAGCGGUGAAAUGCGUAGAUAUUGGGAGGAACACCGGUGGCGAAGGCGGCUCUCUGGACUGAUACUGACGCUGAGGCGCGAAAGCUAGGGGAGCAAACGGGAUUAGAUACCCCGGUAGUCCUAGCUGUAAACGA